UGGGGAAUAUUGCACAAUGGGCGCAAGCCUGAUGCAGCCAUGCCGCGUGUGUGAAGAAGGCCUUCGGGUUGUAAAGCACUUUCAGCGAGGAGGAAGGUGGUGAACUUAAUACGUUCAUCAAUUGACGUUACUCGCAGAAGAAGCACCGGCUAACUCCGUGCCAGCAGCCGCGGUAAUACGGAGGGUGCAAGCGUUAAUCGGAAUUACUGGGCGUAAAGCGCACGCAGGCGGUUUGUUAAGUCAGAUGUGAAAUCCCCGGGCUCAACCUGGGAACUGCAUUUGAAACUGGCAAGCUAGAGUCUCGUAGAGGGGGGCUAGAAUUCCAGGUGUAGCGGUGAAAUGCGUAGAGAUCUGGAGGAAUACCGGUGGCGAAGGCGGCCCCCCUGGACGAAGACUGACGCUCAGGUGCGAAAGCGUGGGGAGCAAACAGGAUUAGAUACCCCUGGUAGUCCACGCUGUAAAACGAUGUCGA
rnacentral:rRNA from 1 species